UUCUUAAUAUUAUAACACGCGAACGCGGUCUUAAACUAGGUUUGGAUUAAUUCUCCCAGAAGCAGAAUUUAAUUCUUAAUCUCCCUGUAUCGAAAUUUAUUGCGAGAAAAUUCCGUAACGCGAGUUAUAAUGAUAUUUGUGUGUAUACGCAUAUACGCAAUAGUACUCGUUGCGCUAGGAAUUGUACUUUCUUAAUAUUAUAACACGCGAACGCGGUCUUAAACUAGGUUCGGAUUAAUUCUCCCAGAAGCAGAAUUUAAUUCUUAAUCUCCCUCUAUCGAAAUUUAGUGCGAGAAAAUUCCGUAACGCGAGUUAUAAUGAUAUUUGUGUGUAUACGCAUAUACGCAAUAGUACUCGUAGCGCUAGGAAUUGUACUUUCUUAAUAUUAUAACACGCGAACGCGGUCUUAAACUAGGUUCGGAUUAAUUCUCCCAGAAGCAGAAUUUAAUUCUUAAUCUCCCUGUAUCGAAAUUUAUUGCGAGAAAAUUCCGUAACGCGAGUUAUAAUGAUAGUUGUGUGUAUACGCAUAUACGCAAUAGUACUCGUUGCGCUAGGAAUUGUACUUUCUUAAUAUUAUAACACGCGAACGCGGUCUUAAACUAGGUUCGGAUUAAUUCUCCCAGAAGCAGAAUUUAAUUCUUAAUCUCCCUGUAUCGAAAUUUAUUGCGAGAAAAUUCCGUAACGCGAGUUAUAAUGAUAUUUGUGUGUAUACGCAUAUACGCAAUAGUACUCGUAGCGCUAGGAAUUGUACUUUCUUAAUAUUAUAACACGCGAACGCGGUCUUAAACUAGGUUUGGAUUAAUUCUCCCAGAAGCAGAAUUUUAUUCUUAAUCUCCCUGUAUAGAAAUAUAGUGCGAGAAAAUUCCGUAACGCGAGUUAUAAUGAUAUUUGUGUGUAUACGCAUAUACGCAAUAGUACUCGUAGCGCUAGGAAUUGUACUUUCUUAAUAUUAUAACACGCGAACGCGGUCUUAAACUAGGUUUGGAUUAAUUCUCCCAGAAGCAGAAUUUAAUUCUUAAUCUCCCUGUAUAGAAAUUUAUUGCGAGAAAAUUCCGUAACGCGAGUUAUAAUGAUAUUUGUGUGUAUACGCAUAUACGCAAUAGUACUCGUAGCGCUAGGAAUUGUACUUUCUUAAUAUUAUAACACGCGAACGCGGUCUUAAACUAGGUUUGGAUUAAUUCUCCCAGAAGCAGAAUUUAAUUCUUAAUCUCCCUGUAUCGAAAUUUAUUGCGAGAAAAUUCCGUAACGCGAGUUAUAAUGAUAUUUGUGUGUAUACGCAUAUACGCAAUAGUACUCGUUGCGCUAGGAAUUGUACUUUCUUAAUAUUAUAACACGCGAACGCGGUCUUAAACUAGGUUUGGAUUAAUUCUCCCAGAAGCAGAAUUUAAUUCUUAAUCUCCCUGUAUAGAAAUAUAGUGCGAGAAAAUUCCGUAACGCGAGUUAUAAUGAUAUUUGUGUGUAUACGCAUAUACGCAAUAGUACUCGUAGCGCUAGGAAUUGUACUUUCUUAAUAUUAUAACACGCGAACGCGGUCUUAAACUAGGUUUGGAUUAAUUCUCCCAGAAGCAGAAUUUAAUUCUUAAUCUCCC